GCAAGUCGAGCGAGAAGGUUAUGAUGGAUUCUUCUUAUGAAAGAUUCACUGGAAAGCGGCGGACGGGUGAGUAACGCGUGAGUAACCUGCCCCAUACACAGGGAUAGCCAUUGGAAACGAGGAUUAAUACCUGAUAACACAUUCGAAUCACAUGUUUAGAAUGUGAAAGAUUGAUCGGUAUGGGAUGGACUCGCGUCUGAUUAGCUAGUUGGUAAGGUAACGGCUUACCAAGGCGACGAUCAGUAGCCGACCUGAGAGGGUGAUC
rnacentral:rRNA from 1 species